UGCUAAUAUAUGGGGCCAGUUUUCCCUCUGACCCUCAGUACUUCGCUUCCCUUUCUUCUGCACACCAGUGGUAUGGCUUCCAGCAGUGCAUUUUGCUUAAAGAUGAUGGAACCUCUGCAAUUUUAAAUAGACACCUAUGGGAAGGAUCCUAUAGAUGGCUUGAACUUAUGGAAGCAUCAAAAGGAAGGUCAGGAGUGCUCUGUCUGCAUUUCUCUGCUGCUGAGUGAAUGCUGAGUAACAGAUCCAGGCAAACCAUUUUGAUAGGCUGUGGCUGGAUUCAACACAAGCUAACAGAACUGAUGAAACUCUGUGGUCAAAAUCUGAACUUCUUGACACCAGUCACUGGAUUCCUCUAAUAUCACAGAAAGUAAAAUGGUUCAUCACUGAAGCAGCUCUUUUACCAAUCUCAUUUUAACCAGCAUGCAUUAUUCCUGAAUGUGGUAGGCUAUUCUGUCAUAUAAACAGCCAUCAAAAGCUUGCUUAAAUCUAGACUGCAGAACAUUUGUAAAGCAAACAGUACGUGCAUGAUUAAUCUUUUCAGGAAACAAUUUUGCCAUUCAGUUUAUCCAAGACUCCAGCAGAGGGAGCAGGGCAGUGCAAACAAUUAAGGUCAAAAAGAAAGUAAAGAUCAAAGAUCAGAUCAAACAAACACAGAGCUGAAUUAAUCUGACAAGUACCUGACAUUUUAUUUUAGGUACAACGAUUUUGGUGCUGUGCUUUUUUUGUGUAUCAAAUUCACAAUGCUCUGUAGGUGAAAUUACCCAUGUACUUUCAAAGCUGAUUCAUGGCUCUUCGCUUGGCAUUGAAGACUCAGUCUGUGUUUAUGCAAUCUACUGUUUGGCAACCUCAUUUCAAGGCCAGUGACCCACCACUUCUUGUGAUUGUUACAAUGAUCUGCAGAAAAUCUCUUCAGGAUAAACAGUUAAUGGGCACCGUUCAGCCACAGCUACUGCUACAUCUUAGUUUCAAGUAUCAAAUACCAGUUUGGGAUCUUCCUGGAGAUAACACAGAGCAAUAUUAUGAGACAUCAGUAGGCAAAACAAAUCUUUAACAAAUGUAAACCAGCAAGAAUUUACUAGCAACAACUGGCAGCAGAACCAUAUAUACGCACACAGGUGCGUAUAUGACAUAAGUGUGUUCCCUAUAGUGCACCUGUCCUGCUCUUUUUUGAACACAAAAUGAACUUUCCAAGAUCUCGAUUCUUUUCUCUAGCAAUUCCAAAUGCCAUAAAAAUGCUGGAAAGAAUCAGUCGUCCUAUUAUUUACAUGACUUACAACUCACAGCACAGCAAAUCAAUGUCAGCACUGCAGCAGAGCCUGGAGGCAAACACCUGGCUCCACUGAUGCUGGAAGCAGAGUUCUCACUGACAUUCAUAGAAGCAGGACAUCUUCCUGCAGUGCUUCGUGCCAGCUUCUACCCAAUAGGCAGUUUUGCAUAGCCAAUGGAAAUCGUGCAGCAGCACAUCUCUGCCUGGAGUAGUGAUAGGGGUACUGCUGGGUUCACUGGGAAGAUUGCUACCUAUUUUUUUUCUAGCUCUUUUAUUUUAUCAUUUCUAAAAUCUGUUGAAUUAAAGAUAGAAUGGAUGGUAAGGAGAGAGAGGCACAAUAUUAGCUGCUGAAAAUCAAGAUUAUUGUUUUUUCCAGGUAAGAGGGUUCAGAAAAUGUAAGGGAGUGGUUUAUCUCAGUUUAUUUUACUUCCAUAUUGUUCACCAUUAAAGCCUUUAUUUCUUUUCCUUAUAAUGGCUGCUUCAGUUUACUUGGGUACUUAUGUUUUAAUUCCUAAUUUAUUUCCAAAGCAACUUAUUGGGUCUGCUUAUUUUAACUUUCCUCCUCCUCUCAAACCUUUUCUCGAUUUUUGUCUUACGUGAGGUUCAGGUUUCCAGUCAGCUCUACCAGGAGCACAGAAAAUCUACUCACAAUGAUCUACACUGUGAUAGCUCUUUAUAGGUGAAGAGGAAUUAACAUUUUGGAACUAAAGGCUCAGCCUCUAUGACACUCUGUGAGAUCUUCUCAAGGUUUAAUUUACCUUGUGAUGGUCAAGUUGCACAAGUGAUCACUGCCUACCUGAUGCAACUCUUCCAUAAGAGCAUAGAAUCUCCUCAUACAAAAGCAGAAGAAACCAAAACAAACUUUUUUUGUAAGCUGUGAAGAGUAACAGAUUUAGAAUUUCCUGGAAAGACAAGUUUCCUACGAAGAAAAACAAUUUAGAUGGAGAGGUGCUCCAAGAAAAAGUGCCUUCUAUGGUGCCAGCUCAUGUCUACAUUAGCAGGUCUUCUUCAAAGAGACUGCCAGCCACAUUUAAACAAUAUAAAAUAUAAAAAUUAAUGUAAAAAUAAAUAUUCUAAAUCCCAA